GACACUGCAUGGUAUCUGCACUCAGCAGUUCUUUCCUGUUGGUGUGUUCAAAAGACAGUGCAAUAGAAAUUCACUGUCUGGCAUAGUUAGUUUCUUGGCUUUGUGCGUGUUAAACUUGGUAUUUCUAAUGAGGCAGUU
ensembl:snoRNA small nucleolar RNA SNORA8